ACACACACACACACACACACACACACACACACACACGGUCACGUUACAGUGUCUUCCCCGGGAAGAGAAGAAACUGAACACUUGUAUCUCAGUUUGAAGACAGGGUUUUAGACCUGAGGAACAUCUGCUCCAUUCAGCCACGGAAGAACUUAGAUGCAGCACCAAAUGCCCAAGAGAACAGGGUGGCUGGAUAAGUAAAUGUUCCUUCAGACCCCGGGACACUUGGCAGCCAUUAAAAUUUCCUUUUUAAAGGAUCGUGGGAGAGUGAAGACAGUGUAAUAUAAUGCUGGGUAAACAAAGGCUAAGUGACCUUAUUUAGAAAGAAGCUGAGUUUCAUUUUCCUGUAAGUCGCCUUAAGACAGAGAGGGCACACAGGGACAUGUCUCGAGGACCUGAAAGUCCCUUAGGUUUUUAUCAUUGAAUCAAGGCUUAACUUCACCAAAGCCCGAAACUGGAGUGUCCCUGAGUGCCCCAGCCCUGGGGAGAGGAGUCUAUCCAGGCUGUGAGAAUGCACAGACCGGCAGGUGUUUUGCUGCUAGGUCUCUGUACCAUGCUUGUGCCUGGCAUCCUUGGAAGACAGAAGAGGGCAUCGGAUCCUCUGAAACGAGAGUCACAAUCACAACUGUUAUGAGCGGCCAUGUGGGGGCUGGGAAUUGAACCCAGGUCCUCUGGAAGAGCAGCUGGUGCCCUUAACCCUUGAGUCAGUGUCUCCAGCUCUGAUUCUUCUCAUCGUUUUUUUGUGACGUGGCCUCACCAUGUAUCCCUGGCUGGCCUAGAACUUUCUAUGUAGAGCGGACUGUCAUCCAACUCACAGAACCCUUCCUGCCUCUGCCUCUCAAGCGCUGGGAUUAGCGUACAUAGGAAGCACCCAGCAUGCCCUCUCGCCCGAGUCGCCUGCCCAGCCUCGUCUCUGUCACCUCUGAGACCUCUGCUCCUGGUCGUUUCUGCCCACGCCUUUCUCCAGCCGCCACUGCUGCGUCUGCCACUGCUGGGUUCCUCCAAGUUCAGCCCGCGUCAGUUAAAAGAAAAAGUAGGCCUAAACUUCCCUGGGAGACCAGAGUUAUUCAGAUGACAGCCUGCCAUCCUUCGUCCUCCAUGGAGCAGAGUGACUUUGGCAACUUCCUGUAUCCUCACAGUUGCCCUGAGCACUGCCAACCAACCGGGGGCUUCCAUUGCCGUGCCUUUCAGCCAGAGCAAGGCCCUGGGUCCUGGAGGCCCCCUGCUCUCACGGGCCUCCGGAGAGCAGGAGCUCUGCACUGCUUGCUAGAGGGUUCCCAACGUCUCCCUGGCUCCCUCGUGAGAAGGAGCCUCUGAUGCCCACUGCCCCACUCAGUGGCCUAGGUGUGUGCAGAGGAGUGAGUCAGCUUUCCCUUGCUUCCUUCUGGUCUUGGGGCUUCUUGGAUUCACUUCCUUUUUUUUAAAUUUUGAUGCACUUGGGCGGUUUUGCCUGCAUGUGUGUCUAUGUACCUGCCACAUGCACGGUGUGCACACAGAAGCCAAAAGAGGGCGUCCAUCUUCUUGGCCUGGAGUUGCUAUGGUCUUGGGGGCCUCCAUAGGGUGCUGGGAACCGCUCCCAGGUCCUCCGGAAAGUGGCGAGCACCCUUAACGGCUGAGCCAUCCCCACAGCCCCAGUUUCGCUUCCUGGAUAAACUAGUUCUACCACGUUUUUUCCCAGGGCAUCUGCUUCUGGGGGGGGAUUGCUAUCUUAGACAGGGCGGUGCCUUGGUGGUUUUUACUGAUUUAAUUUUUCUGAUGUAAUCUCUCUCUCUGUCUGUCUAUCUAUCAUCAAUCUAUCCAUCUAUCUCUCUCACACAUACACCCCUAGGGUUUCACGUAUGCAAGGCAAUGGGCUCUCUCUUUAACUUCCUUUCAGCUUGUUAUUUCUACAUUUGGGGUCAACUGAAUGCCAAGCAGCUGGGCACACCCGGGAGGGUCUGUCUGGUUAGAUCGCUUGACCUGUGGGCAGCCCACGGCAGAGGCCAUGGGAGAAGGAAGCUUUUGAGUUUUGCCGCCCUGCCCUCACGCUCACUCUGGCAAGUUCAUCGGUCCUGUUGCCCAGGCAUUGCUUCGUUGGGAUUGGAGUCUACAUCUUCAGGAUCCGAAGGCAGACUGAAGACUGGCAGCUCUCCAGGGUUCCAGCACAGACUGCGACCCCUGAGCAGAGACAUCCGGCAAAUGGCCUGAACUGACUUGGGCUCCUGAGCUUUCCUUUGGGUGACAGUCAUUUUGGACUACUCAGCCCCACAAGCCACACUAAUAAACAGCCUGUGUGUAGCCCACACAGACCUCGGGUUCACCAUC